rnacentral:rRNA from 1 species
AGUGAACGCUGGCGGUAGGCCUAACACAUGCAAGUCGAACGGCAGCACAGUAAGAGCUUGCUCUUACGGGUGGCGAGUGGCGGACGGGUGAGGAAUACAUCGGAAUCUACUUUUUCGUGGGGGAUCACGUAGGGAAACUUACGCUAAUACCGCAUACGACCUACGGGUGAAAGCAGGGGAUCUUCGGACCUUGCGCGAUUGAAUGAGCCGAUGUCGGAUUAGCUAGUUGGCGGGGUAAAGGCCCACCAAGGCGACGAUCCGUAGCUGGUCUGAGAGGAUGAUCGGCCACACUGGAACGGAGACACGGUCCAGACUCCUACGGGAGGCAGCAGUGGGGAAUAGUGGACAAAGGGCGCAAGCCUGAUCCAGCCAUACCGCGUGGGUGAAGAAGGCCUUCGGGUUGUAAAGCCCUUUUGUUGGGAAAGAAAAGCAGCAGGUUAAUACCCCGCUGUUCUGACGGUACCCAAAGAAUAGGCACCGGCUAACUUCGUG